GAUGAAGAACGUAGCGAAAUGCGAUAACUAAUGUGAAUUGCAGAAUUCAGUGAAUCAUCGAGUCUUUGAACGCACAUUGCGCCCCCUGGUAUUCCGGGGGGCAUGCCUGUCCGAGCGUCAUUGCUGCCCUCAAGCACGGCUUGUGUGUUGGGCUCCGUCCCCCCGGGGACGGACCCGAAAGGCAGCGGCGGCACCGAGUCCGGUCCUCGAGCGUAUGGGGCUUUGUCACCCGCUCUGUAGGCCCGGCCGGCGCCAGCCGACAACCCAUCAUCCUUUUCAGGUUGACCUCGGAUCAGGUAGGGAUACCCGCUGAACUUAAGCAUAUCAAUAAGCGGAGGA
rnacentral:misc_RNA from 1 species